rnacentral:tRNA from 2 species
GGACUUAAAAUCCGUCGACUUUAAAAAUCGUGAGGGUUCAAGUCCCUCUAUCCCCA